CAAUAGCGUAUAUUAAAGUUGUUGCGGUUAAAAAGCUCGUAGUUGGAUUUCUGGCUUGGACGACCGGUCCGUGCUAUGCAUGAGUAUCUGGUUCGGCCUAGCCAUCUUGCUAGAGACGCUGUGUACUUCAUUGUGUGCAGUGGUGUCUAGCCUUUUACUUUGAGGAAAUGAGAGUGUUCCAAGCAGGCAUCCGCCUUGAAUACGUUAGCAUGGAAUAAUAAGAUAGGAUUUCGGUCCGUUUUUAUUGGUUUAGCGGCCGAGAUAAUGAUUAAUAGGAACAGUCGGGGGCAUUUGUAUUUAACUGUCAGAGGUGAAAUUCUUGGAUUUGUUAAAGACAAACUACUGCGAAAGCAUUUGCCAAGGAUGUUUUCAUUGAC
rnacentral:rRNA from 1 species